rnacentral:miRNA from 4 species
UGAGAUCAUCGUGAAAGCUAGU